AAUAGUUAAUUCUAGUGUUAAGAUAUAAAGAUUUCACGUCAAUUAAAUAACGCAAUAUAAGGAGAUAGGAUACUUCUCUUAACAAAAUUUACCUCUUAAGAUAGAAUUUUAAAUCUGAAUGUAAUGUCAGAGUCCAAUAAAUUUAAAUAACCAUUUCGAUCCCAUUAAGAUUCAAAAUAAGCACACAGAUUCUAGGAUUGGCAUUCUCAAACAAGUCAUCAUCGGGAGCAUGUUAGUGUAAAUCUCACAUUGAAUUACAACGAAUUAAAAUUCAAUGUAUUAUUAAAGACAAUAUUUAAAUGAUAUAUGUGGUACUAUCUAAUAGCUCUUCAAGUGAUCCAACAUCAAGUUCAUGAGGUCGGAAGUAUGAGGCUUGUCAACAUGUAAGUGUCCAUGUCAACAAGUUAUCCAGAGAGAGAUUUUUUUUUUCCAAAUACGUGUUAGUUAAUCAAAUGUGGAAUUUGAAAAAAGAAACUCCGUGUAAAAUGGGGUAGAAUUUUACGUCCACUUGCCAAAGGCAUUCCAUAGAAUUUUCAAGACUUUUGGCGUGUUAAAGACUUCACAAUCAAGUCAAGAUUUGUCUUCAUAUCCAAGUAGCAUGAGAAGAGUAUUCAUCCCUUCUCUAUUAUAAAACUCGUGCCUAAAAUUAAGAACCAACUUCUAUGCAUAGCCAUAUCUUCGUCCCGGAACCUAGAUUACCUUCCGAAAAAGUAGAUCUAGUUACAUAACUCUAAAACUAUAAACUAAUCACUUAGUUUCAGAAUUACAAAUUUAAUAAUAUAUAAAUAUUGCCUUGCA
rnacentral:lncRNA from 1 species